UCUCAAAUUUUUUUCUUAUGUUUUGAUCGUUAUUCAAAUGAUGAACUGCCGCAAAAUUUCCAAACUCGUGAUGGGAAAAAGUACAAAAAAAUGCUAUGCUAUUACAAAAAUAAAAAAGAAUCAAACUGACCACGGUAUUGUUACAUAAUAACUGUUCCUCUCUACUUCUUUUCCCAUUCCUUCUCAAUGGCUCGAGGAAUUUUCCUCAUUGCUCCUGCUUUAACAGUAAGAAACGGGUAGUUUAAUCUGGUUGUUGGUACAUCUUGGGAUAGAAAGGCAUGCCAACUAUGACAAUGACAAUGUUUCAAUGAUUUUUAAAAUUCAAAAGUGCGUUGUUUUCUUCAUAAAGGGGUAGACAAGUAUUUUAACCUCACAUAAUUAUUGACUCUUCAAAUUGACAAGGUAGUAAUUUAUCAGGUUGAUAAAAUGGCAAAUGAAUUUCGAUGGCUCCAGUAGGCAAGGUGGUGUUGGAGCAUGACACGACCCGUCCCGAAUCAUCCUAAUAGACCCGAUACGUGUCGUGCGCCGAUGGUAGAUACCAGCUAAGUGCUGGACCCACCAUCAAUGCAACUUUGACCUGUUUUGACUAUAAUAUACUUUGUAAAAAUUUUGGCAGAGUACCCCCUGAAUUAUGGACUAAAACCACCUGAAAUAUAUAAUCCAAUAUUCCAAACAGAUGCGUAUAGUUUAAAAUAGGGUACACUGGACCAUAAAAUAUCAACUAUUCAAAUACAACACUAGCAAUUCGACCUUUGCAACAAUUUAUAAAUCCCACUACCCAAAAUGCAUAAUAUAUACAAAACAUGGAACUAAUUUCUGACCAAAAGAAGUGUCUAUCCCAAAAUAUGAACUAUUAAACUGAUAAGAUGAGUCAUACAAUAUUUAAC
rnacentral:lncRNA from 1 species